rnacentral:rRNA from 1 species
GUGGUAAUACCGGAUGCUCCGCUCCAUCGCAUGGUGGGGUGGGAAAUGCUUUUGCGGCAUGGGAUGGGGUCGCGUCCUAUCAGCUUGUUGGCGGGGUGAUGGCCCACCAAGGCGUUGACGGGUAGCCGGCCUGAGAGGGUGACCGGCCACAUUGGGACUGAGAUACGGCCCAGACUCCUACGGGAGGCAGCAGUGGGGAAUAUUGCACAAUGGGCGCAAGCCUGAUGCAGCGACGCCGCGUGCGGGAUGGAGGCCUUCGGGUUGUAAACCGCUUUUGUUCAAGGGCAAGGCACGGUUUCGGCCGUGUUGAGUGGAUUGUUCGAAUAAGCACCGGCUAACUACGUGCCAGCAGCCGCGGUAAUACGUAGGGUGCGAGCGUUAUCCGGAUUUAUUGGGCGUAAAGGGCUCGUAGGCGGUUCGUCGCGUCCGGUGUGAAAGUCCAUCGCCUAACGGUGGAUCUGCGCCGGGUACGGGCGGGCUGGAGUGCGGUAGGGGAGACUGGAAUUCCCGGUGUAACGGUGGAAUGUGUAGAUACGAAAAAAAAAACCC